CCUACGGGUGGCAGCAGUGAGGAAUAUUGGUCAAUGGUCGGGAGACUGAACCAGCCAAGCCGCGUGAGGGAUGAAGGUCCAGAGUAUCAUAAACCUCUUUUGUCAGGGAACAAAACCGGGUACGUGUCCCCGCAUGCGUGUACCUUACGAAAAAGCAUCGGCUAACUCCGUGCCAGCAGCCGCGGUAAUACGGAGGAUGCGAGCGUUAUCCGGAUUUAUUGGGUUUAAAGGGUGCGCAGGCGGUCUGUUAAGUCAGCGGUCAAAGCCCGGGGCUCAACCCCGGACUGCCGUUGAAACUGGCAGUCUGGAGUUGGAGAGAAGUAUGCGGAAUGCGCGGUGUAGCGGUGAAAUGCAUAGAUAUCGCGCAGAACUCCGAUUGCGAAGGCAGCAUGCCGGAUCGAAACUGACGCUGAGGCACGAAAGCGUGGGUAUCGAACAGGAUUAGAUACCCGAGUAGUC
rnacentral:rRNA from 1 species